GUUGGUCGCUCUCGGGUGCCUACUUUCUGCGUCGGCUCUUCCUGAAAGGGGAUACCGGAGGGUCUGGGACUGGUCCUGGGACGGGGUCUGGGACUAGGCGGAAGAGUUAACCCCUGCGAGCCGCAGUAGGUGACCUACCAGCCCCAGCUGGAUACAGCGGGGCGGAACAGUCGCGACGCGGGCCGAUCCUCUCCGCGGCAGUCGAAUCGCCUCACGAGGGCGCCAGAGCUGGUCUUCCGAGCUCUGCUGCCUUACCCGGGACGCCGGCAGGCGGAGGACCAUCGAGGUCGCUGCCCAGGCCAGAGUGAAGAACCUAAGAGGAGCAGCAGAAGAAUAUUCCUCCUCAAGGCACAAAGCAGGCCCAGGACCCGAGGAGAUGAAGUUUGGCUGUCUUUCCUUCCGGCAGCC